GUAUUGUGUGAAAGGAGAAAAGAUUAACUGUCUUCUUCAUAAAGAUGGAAGAGGUCCUAAUGACCUUUACAAUACAUAUAACUAAAGUACUUCCACUGACUCAGUGGCAUCCUAUCACAUUUGGGUUUUUUGU